rnacentral:rRNA from 1 species
ACGAACGCUGGCGGCGUGGAUAAGACAUGCAAGUCGAACGAGAGAAUUGCUAGCUUGCUAAUAAUUCUCUAGUGGCGCACGGGUGAGUAACACGUGAGUAACCUGCCCCCGAGAGCGGGAUAGCCCUGGGAAACUGGGAUUAAUACCGCAUAGUAUCGAAAGAUUAAAGCAGCAAUGCGCUUGGGGAUGGGCUCGCGGCCUAUUAGUUAGUUGGUGAGGUAACGGCUCACCAAGGCGAUGACGGGUAGCCGGUCUGAGAGGAUGUCCGGCCACACUGGAACUGAGACACGGUCCAGACACCUACGGGUGGCAGCAGUCGAGAAUCAUUCACAAUGGGGGAAACCCUGAUGGUGUGACGCCGCGUGGGGGAAUGAAGGUCUUCGGAUUGUAAACCCCUGUCAUGUGGGAGCAAAUUAAAAAGAUAGUACCACAAGAGGAAGAGACGGCUAACUCUGUGCCAGCAGCCGCGGUAAUACAGAGGUCUCAAGCGUUGUUCGGAAUCACUGGGCGUAAAGCGUGCGUAGGCUGUUUCGUAAGUCGUGUGUGAAAGGCGCGGGCUCAACCCGCGGACGGCACAUGAUACUGCGAGACUAGAGUAAUGGAGGGGGAACCGGAAUUCUCGGUGUAGCAGUGAAAUGCGUAGAUAUCGAGAGGAACACUCGUGGCGAAGGCGGGUUCCUGGACAUUAACUGACGCUGAGGCACGAAGGCCAGGGGAGCGAAAGGGAUUAGAUACCCCUGUAGUCCUGGCAGUAAACGGUGCACGCUUGGUGUGCGGGGAAUCGACCCCCUGCGUGCCGGAGCUAACGCGUUAAGCGUGCCGCCUGGGGAGUACGGUCGCAAGAUUAAAACUCAAAGAAAUUGACGGGGACCCGCACAAGCGGUGGAGUAUGUGGCUUAAUUCGAUGCAACGCGAAGAACCUUACCUGGGCUUGACAUGUAAUGAACAACAUGUGAAAGCAUGCGACUCUUCGGAGGCGUUACACAGGUGCUGCAUGGCCGUCGUCAGCUCGUGUCGUGAGAUGUUUGGUUAAGUCCAGCAACGAGCGCAACCCCUGUUGCCAGUUACCAGCACGUGAAGGUGGGGACUCUGGCGAGACUGCCCAGAUCAACUGGGAGAAGGUGGGGACGACGUCAGGUCAGUAUGGCCCUUAUGCCCAGGGCUGCACACGUACUACAAUGCCCAGUACAGAGGGGGCCGAAGCCGCGAGGCGGAGGAAAUCCUGAAAACUGGGCCCAGUUCGGACUGUAGGCUGCAACCCGCCUACACGAAGCCGGAAUCGCUAGUAAUGGCGCAUCAGCUACGGCGCCGUGAAUACGUUCCCGGGUCUUGUACACACCGCCCGUCACAUCAUGGAAGCCGGUCGCACCCGAAGUAUCUGAAGCCAACCGCAAGGAGGCAGGGUCCUAAGGUGAGACUGGUAACUGGGAUG